UACGGAGGGGGGCUAGCGUUGUUCGGAAUUACUGGGCGUAAAGCGCACGUAGGCGGCUUGGAAAGUUGGAGGUGAAGGCCCGGAGCUCAACUCCGGAAUUGCCUUCAAAACUCCCAGGCUAGAGUUCGGAAGAGGAGAGUGGAAUUCCCAGUGUAGAGGUGAAAUUCGUAGAUAUUGGGAAGAACACCAGUGGCGAAGGCGACUACCUGGACUGAUACUGACACUGAGGUGCGAAAGCGUGGGGAGCAAACAGGAUUAG
rnacentral:rRNA from 1 species